rnacentral:rRNA from 1 species
AGCAGCCGCGGUAAUUCCAGCUCCAAUAGCGUAUAUUUAAGUUGUUGCAGUUAAAAGCUGUAGUUGAAUUUCGGGAUUAAUAUGCUGGUCGUGCCAUUGGUACGUACUAGUAUUAUUGUUUCUCCCUUCUGAUGAAUCAUGAUGUCAUUAAUUUGAUGUCAUGGGGAAUCAGGACUGUACUUUGAAAAAAUUAGAGUGUUUAAAGCAGGCUCGCGCUUGA